CAAGAAAUAGUUUAAUUUAAAAUACUAAUUUUGGAGAUUAGAGAUAGAACUUAUCUUUUCUUGA
rnacentral:tRNA from 1 species